CGUGAGCUCGGCGAGUGUAUACUCGUACGUGACUAUGGUAUUCAUCUACUUAGUUUUUCCUCCCUGUCUUGCCCUUGUGCGUGAGGGAUCUCCCUGUACGUCAGGCCGCCGCAUCGCCCAUCAGGAAGGUACAGUGUAAUGAACUUCAGUCAAACUCGUGUCAUGAACGGUGGAUCAACUUGUACCAAACUGAGUCUCGGGGUAUGCGGUUUGGUUCUUGCCUCCACGCAGCGCCUCCAGUAUGUAA